rnacentral:rRNA from 1 species
GACGAACGCUGGCGGCGUGCCUAACACAUGCAAGUCGAACGGGGUAAUUACUUCGGUGAUUACUUAGUGGCGAACGGGUGAGUAACGCGUGAGAAACCUGCCUUUCAGUGGGGGACAACAGUUGGAAACGACUGCUAAUACCGCAUAAUGUUAUUUGAGGGCAUCCUCGAAUAACCAAAGCUUAAUGUGCUGAAAGAUGGUCUCGCGUCUGAUUAGCUAGAUGGCGGGGUAACGGCCCACCAUGGCGACGAUCAGUAGCCGGUCUGAGAGGAUGAACGGCCACAUUGGGACUGAGAUACGGCCCAG